AUUGAACGCUGGCGGCAUGCCUUACACACGCAAGUCGAACGGUAACAGGUCUUCGGAUGCUGACGAGUGGCGAACGGGUGAGUAAUACAUCGGAACGUGCCUAGUAGUGGGGGAUAACUACUCGAAAGAGUGGCUAAUACCGCAUGAGAUCUACGGAUGAAAGCAGGGGAUCGCAAGACCUUGUGCUACUAGAGCGGCCGAUGGCAGAUUAGGUAGUUGGUGGGAUAAAAGCUUACCGAGCCGACGAUCUGUAGCUGGUCUGAGAGGACGAUCAGCCACGCUGGGACUGAGACACGGCCCAGACUCCUACGGGGGGCAGCAGUGGGGAAUUUUGGACAAUGGGCGCAAGCCUGAUCCAGCAAUGCCGCGUGCAGGAUGAAGGCCUUCGGGUUGUAAACUGCUUUUGUACGGAACGAAAAGCCCUGGGUUAAUACCCUGGGGUCAUGACGGUACCGUAAGAAUAAGCACCGGCUAACUACGUGCCAGCCGCCGCGGUAACAC
rnacentral:rRNA from 1 species